GGCCAGCAGCCGCGGUAAGACGGAGGAGGCUAGCGUUGUUCGGAAUUACUGGGCGUAAAGCGUGCGCAGGUUGUGAGUUCAGUCUGAUGUGAAAGCCCGGGGCUCAACCUCGGAUGUGCAUUAGAUACUGACUUGCUGGAGGUUGGAAGAGGAGAGUGGAAUUCCCAGUGUAGAGGUGAAAUUCGUAGAUAUUGGGAAGAACACCAGUGGCGAAGGCGGCUCUCUGGUCCACACCUGACACUCAAGCACGAAAGCGUGGGGAGCAAACAGGAUUAGAUACCCUGGUAGUCCACGCCGUAAACGAUGUGUGCUAGACGUCGGAAGGCUUGCCUUUCGGUGUCGCAGCUAACGCGAUAAGCACACCGCCUGGGGAGUACGGCCGCAAGGUUAAAACUCAAAUAAAUUGACGG
rnacentral:rRNA from 1 species